GGCCAUGUAGACAAGUGGAAAGUCGGGAGUCUGCAAAACUCCUAUUGCGUCGGUUCGAUUCCGACCAUGGCCUCCA
rnacentral:tRNA from 1 species